rnacentral:rRNA from 1 species
UGAGGAAUAUUGGGCAAUGCCCGAAAGGGUGACCCAGCAACGCCGCGUGGAGGAUGAAGGCCGUAAGGUCGUAAACUCCUUUUAGUGGGGACGAAACAUCAUACUUCGCAAGGGGUAUGACUUGACUGUACCCACAGAAAAAGCCCCGGCUAACUACGUGCCAGCAGCCGCGGUAAUACGUAGGGGGCCAGCGUUGUCCGGAUUCACUGGGUAUAAAGGGCGCGCAGGCGGGCCUGCAAGUCAGAGGUGAAAGCCUGUAGCUUAACUACAGAACUGCCUUUGAAACUGUAGGCCUUGAGUAUGGAAGAGAGAGACGGAAUUCCAGGUGUAGUGGUGAAAUACGUAGAUAUCUGGAAGAACAUCGGUGGCGAAAGCGGUCUCUUGGUCCAUCACUGACGCUGAGGCGCGAAAGCGUGGGGAGCAAACA